rnacentral:rRNA from 1 species
UACGUAGGGAGCAAGCGUUGUCCGGAAUCAUUGGGCGUAAAGCGCGCGUAGGUGGCCUCAUAAGUCCGCUGUGAAAGUCCAAGGCUCAACCUUGGAAAGCCGGUGGAUACUGUGAGGCUAGAGUACGGAAGAGGCGAGUGGAAUUCCUGGUGUAGCGGUGGAAUGCGCAGAUAUCAGGAGGAACACCAAUAGCGAAGGCAGCUCGCUGGGACGUUACUGACGCUGAGACGCGAAAGCGUGGGGAGCGAACAGG